rnacentral:rRNA from 1 species
CAACUUUCAACAAUGGAUCUCUUGGUUCUGGCAUCGAUGAAGAACGCAGCGAAAUGCGAUAAGUAGUGUGAAUUGCAGAAUUCAGUGAAUCAUCGAAUCUUUGAACGCACAUUGCGCCCCUUGGUAUUCCGAGGGGCAUGCCUGUUCGAGCGUCAUCU